GACGAACGCUGGCGGCGUGCUUAACACAUGCAAGUCGAACGGUAAGGCCCUUCGGGGUACACGAGUGGCGAACGGGUGAGUAACACGUGGGUGAUCUGCCCUGCACUUCGGGAUAAGCCUGGGAAACUGGGUCUAAUACCGGAUAGGACCCUGGGAUGCAUGUCCUGGGGUGGAAAGCUUUUGCGGUGUGGGAUGGGCCCGCGGCCUAUCAGCUUGUUGGUGGGGUGAUGGCCUACCAAGGCGACGACGGGUAGCCGGCCUGAGAGGGUGACCGGCCACACUGGGACUGGGAUACGGCCCAGACUCCUACGGGAGGCAGCAGUGGGGAAUAUUACACAAUGGGCGCAAGCCUGAUGCAGCGACGCCGCGUGAGGGAUGACGGCCUUCGGGUUGUAAACCUCUUUCAGCACCGACGAAGCGCAAGUGACGGUAGGUGCAGAAGAAGGACCGGCCAACUACGUGCCAGCCGCCGCAGUAA
rnacentral:rRNA from 1 species